rnacentral:rRNA from 1 species
GUGUCAGCAGCCGCGGUAAGACGUAGGGGGCGAGCGUUGUCCGGAUUUACUGGGCGUAAAGCGCGCGUAGGCGGCUCGUUAAGUCGGUGGUGAAAUCCCGGGGCUCAACCCCGUGGACUGCCUCCGAUACUGGCGGGCUCGAGGCAGGUAGGGGAGAGUGGAAUUCCUGGUGUAGCGGUGAAAUGCGCAGAUACCAGGAGGAACACCGGUGGCGAAGGCGGCUCUCUGGGCCUGUCCUGACGCUGAGGCGCGAAAGCUAGGGGAGCAAACAGGAUUAGAAACCCUCGUAGUCC